CAUCAAUUCCUAUAUGAUCACUGAAGUUAAGUAACAUCAAGCCUGAUCGGUACUUAGAUGGGUGACUGCUUAGGAAUACCAGGUGCUGUAAG